rnacentral:rRNA from 1 species
UACGAAGGGGGCUAGCGUUGCUCGGAAUCACUGGGCGUAAAGGGUGCGUAGGCGGGUCUUUUAAGUCAGGGGUGAAAUCCUGGAGCUCAACUCCAGAACUGCCUUUGAUACUGAAAGUCUUGAGUAUGGGAGAGGUGAGUGGAACUGCGAGUGUAGAGGUGAAAUUCGUAGAUAUUCGCAAGAACACCAGUGGCGAAGGCGGCUCACUGGCCCAUAACUGACGCUGAGGCACGAAAGCGUGGGGAGCAAACAGG